GAUGAACGCUGGCGGCGUGCCUAACACAUGCAAGUCGAGCGAACAGACGAGGAGCUUGCUCCUCUGACGUUAGCGGCGGACGGGUGAGUAACAUGUGGAUAACCUACCUAUAAGACUGGGAUAACUUCGGGAAACCGGAGCUAAUACCGGAUAAUAUAUUGAACCGCAUGGUUCAAUAGUGAAAGACGGUUUUGCUGUCACUUAUAGAUGGAUCCGCGCCGCAUUAGCUAGUUGGUAAGGUAACGGCUUACCAAGGCAACGAUGCGUAGCCGACCUGAGAGGGUGAUCGGCCACACUGGAACUGAGACACGGUCCAGACUCCUACGGGAGGCAGCAGUAGGGAAUCUUCCGCAAUGGGCGAAAGCCUGACGGAGCAACGCCGCGUGAGUGAUGAAGGUCUUCGGAUCGUAAAACUCUGUUAUUAGGGAAGAACAAAUGUGUAAGUAACUAUGCACGUCUUGACGGUACCUAAUCAGAAAGCCACGGCUAACUACGUG
rnacentral:rRNA from 1 species